CAAAUACUCCCUCUGUCCGGAAAUACUUGUCAUAGAAAUGGAUGAAAAUGGAUGCAUCUAAAACAAAAAUACGUCUAGAACCAUCCAUCUCUCCAACGAGUAUUUUCGGACGGAGGGAGUAGUAG
rfam:Triticum aestivum genome assembly, contig: Triticum_aestivum_CS42_TGACv1_scaffold_050274_1BS